rnacentral:rRNA from 1 species
AUGUACUUGUGUAUCUAUCCCAAUGCACUAGAUCCCAUAAAAACUUUGAUGUUAAGCGUGUUUGAGGUGAACAAUACUAUAAUAGAUGAUCUCUUAUGAAUUAUUGUGCAUC